UUUCAGAAAACAAAAACUCCUAAGAGAAUGAAUAGAAAUUAUCUUAAGGAGUUAUAAAGAACCAUCUCAGAAUUUUACUCUCUUACUGCAAAAUCUCAUGCAAAGAUAACCAAGUACGAAGAAUUAACUGAAAUUCAUCCUAAGAUGAGGCAUCUUGGCUGAGGUUUUGUGCAUCUCUAAGAUGAUCAUCUUGGUGUGGGGUCCUGAUCUUCCCAGUGACUUAGCAGCACAGUAAUUUGGCUGAAAUGUUGAUGAGUUCAGACAAGAAGAAGGUGAUGAUGACAAGAGAGCAUCACGGGGAAAUUGUGCCCUGAGGAAGGAAUAGUUUGAGGCUGGAGAGAUGUGCUACCCCCGCCACUCUUUCUCAAAUGGGAAAGAAAACCUGUAGGCACAGAAAUCAUUGCUCUGCUUAUACUGAAAUCUCCUGCUGACUUUGAGAGCUGAGCAUUGGAUUUUGAUGGGAGAGUGAAACUUAGUGAAGAAAUGAUUUGAACCUUUGUUGAUCUAAUACUUCUGUGAUACAGUUAUCUAAACAGAAUGAGUCUAAAGUCAGUAUAAAGACCUGUGUCUCUCCAUGUUUUGCUACUUAUAAUUGCAGAGGAACAUUUUGAGAUAGAAAAUUUUAUCCCCCUUUCAAGUGACUUUUUAUAAAGCAUAACCUUUUAAGAGAGGUCAUUCUUUUGAAAAAUUGUCUGAAUACAAGAGAAGUAACUGAACAGCAAGGGAUUGUAGCCAUAAUGUUCUUGACCACUUUAGAUUGACAAAUAGUGUCUCAAAAUUGAUCAGGUUCCGGAGAAUCUAUUGAGGUUGUAUGGAAUAACCAAGUGAUGGAAGAGGUUGGAAGUGAAUAAUUUUAUGUGGUAUUAUGUGAUGUUUUUUUGGUGGGGGUAGUGUCUGGAGCUGAGCGUGAUGGGCCCUAGAUGGGGCAGCCUUCUAAUGCUCCCAGCAUUUCGCAAAUCAUAUGUCACGUCAAAAUUGUAAUGACAAAGCUCACAGCAGCUGCCUACGCCAGGUUUGGUGCCAGCUCUAAUUAGAGCAUCGAUCAUUUCUCACGCCUUCAUGAAUGCACAUGUGUGCACAUUUUCAUAUAUAAGGGCAAAGGACAUUUCAAAGUUUGGAUGGAAUCUUUCCUACUUAGAAGUAAUAAAAAACAAUACUUUGAAAUCUUACCAAAUAUUAAAUAAAUAGCAACAAUUUUUCCAUUUAAAGAUGUGUGUCUUAAGGUCUGUUGGAUCUUUCAAAUUUCUAUUUUGGACAUGGAAACUACAGAUGAAAUUUAACUGACACAAAGUUACACAGAACUCCUGGCUGAUCUGUUUUACUUAAUUCUUCUAAAAUCUAAAGUAAGAAUAAUUUUGAAAUUUUAUUGGUAAUGCUUAAAUAACAAAAGUUACUUUAAUAUGUUACAUGUUUGAAGUUUCAUUUAUACUUAAUAUCUAAUUUAACUCUUGUGAAAAUAUUAUUCAGUAUUUUUUUUUGUUUUCUAAAAUGACUUGUUCAGGGCUCCUUUUUGGAUUUUAAGUGAGAAAAACUCUAUUUCAUAAUAUUGUUACCAUGCUCAUCCAAUAACACUUCAUAGAUGGUUAGCCAUCUCUAAAAUUAAAUUUUGUAGUUGAGGAGCUUUGAAAAUACCACCUAUAUUUGGAUUUCUGUUUAACACUUCAAAAUGCAUUUUAUCAUAAUUUAAAAUUUGAUUUAAAUACAAACCUCUUUAUAGAAAACCUGACAAAUGUGGUUUUAUUUGUUUGCUUGCUUUUUUUUGCAGGGAGGGAUAUUCCCUUAAUAACACUCUGUCUUUAUGACUCAUUGGUUAUUUAUAAAUGUUAUCAUCAUUUUUCUGAUUUUUAAAUAAAUUUCAGAAUUAAUACAUUUAACUGAAUAAAUCAACCAAUAAUGUCACAACUUAAA
rnacentral:lncRNA from 1 species